GUGCCAAGCAGCCGCGGUAAUUCCAGCUCCAAUAGCGUAUAUUAAAGUUGUUGCCGUUAAAAAGCUCGUAGUCGAACUUCGGCGCCUGAUGGCCGGUCCGCCUUCUUGGUGUGUACUUGCUCAUCGGGCGCUUACCUCCUGGUGAACUCUGAUGUCCUUUACUGGGUGUCAGAGCAAACCAGGACGUUUACUUUGAAAAAAUUAGAGUGUUCAAAGCAGGCCUACGCCCGAAUACAUUAGCAUGGAAUAAUAGAAUAGGACGCGCGUUCCCAUUUUGUUGGUUUCUGAGAUCGCCGUAAUGAUUAAUAGGGAUAGUUGGGGGCAUUUGUAUUCCGUCGUCAGAGGUGAAAUUCUUGGAUUGCCGGAAGACAAACUACUGCGAAAGCAUUUGCCAAGGAUGUUUUCAUUGAUCAAGAACGAAGGAAGGGGGAUCGAAAACGAUCAGAUACCGUUGUAGUCUCUUCUGUAAACUAUGCCAAUUGGGGAUUAGCACAGGAUUUUCAAUGACUGUGUUAGCACCCGAAGAGAAAUCUUUAAAUGAGGUUCGGGGGGGAGUAUGGUCGCAAGGCUGAAACUUAAAGGAAUUGACGGAAGGGCACCACCAGGUGUGGAGCCUGCGGCUUAAUUUGACUCAACACGGGGAAACUCACCAGGUCCAGACACAAUAAGGAUUGACAGAUUGAUAGCUCUUUCUUGAUCUUGUGGUUGGUGGUGCAUGGCCGUUCUUAGUUGGUGGAGUGAUUUGUCUGGUUAAUUCCGAUAACGAACGAGACCUUAACCUGUUAAAUAGACCAGUCGACUUUGGUUGACUGCUGUCUUCUUAGAGGGACUAUCAGCGUUUAGCUGAUGGAAGUUUGAGGCAAUAACAGGUCUGUGAUGCCCAAGGGCGAAUUCCGCGGCGCUAAAUU
rnacentral:rRNA from 1 species